UAUUAUGUUAUGGAGUAUUGUUAGAGUAUUUACAGGUUCAGGUACGUUCUGGAGAAAUAUGGUGAUUUUGGAGCCUUUUGAGUGCAGAGCUGCACAGACGCGUCAGAUGUUUAUCUAUGAAUGGAGACCUUUUCAUCGUUAGAUUGAGCCCAUCGUUUAACACAAGAUAGAGCUUUUGAGUUAACUUUCCAAUGCCGCCAGUUUGAGUUUAAUAAGCAUCUUGUAGGAGACGUUAUGCCCGUUUUACUGAAGAGUUGUCAGUCUGCCUCGCGAGAGGAAGCUGUCGAGGAGAUGCAUGAUUGUCGAUCGAUGAAACAGCAUUGCCAUCGAUCGACAGUGAUGGCCAAUCAUAUUUCAAGACCGAUUGAAGCUCAGAAGCC
rnacentral:lncRNA from 1 species